GGGUCAGUAGGUUGGUCGUGCCACCGGUACGUACUGGCCUCACUGAUUCCUCCUUCCUGAAGAACCGUAAUGCCACUAAUUUGGUGUUGCGGGGAAACAGGACUGUUACUUUGAAAAAAUUAGAGUGUUUAAAGCAAGCUAACGCUUGAAUACAUUAGCAUGGAAUAAUGAAAUAGGACGAUCGAUCCUAUUUUGUUGGUUUCUAGGAUUGACGUA
rnacentral:rRNA from 1 species